rnacentral:rRNA from 7 species
CCUGGCGGCUUUAGCGCGGUGGUCCCACCUGACCCCAUGCCGAACUCAGAAGUGAAACGCCGUAGCGCCGAUGGUAGUGUGGGGCCUCCCCAUGCGAGAGUAGGGAACUGCCAGAC